CCUACGGGAGGCAGCAGUGAGGAAUAUUGGUCAAUGGCCGUAAGGCUGAACCAGCCAAGUCGCGUGAAGGAAGAAGGAUCUAUGGUUUGUAAAAUUCUUUUAUAGGGGAAUAAAGGUAUCCACGUGUGGAUAUUUGCAUGUACCCUAUGAAUAAGCAUCGGCUAACUCCGUGCCAGCAGCCGCGGUAAUACGGAGGAUGCGAGCGUUAUACGGAUUUAUUGGGUUUAAAGGGUGCGUAGGUUGUUUUUUAAGUCAGCGGUGAAAGUUUGGGGCUCAACCAUAAAAUUGCCGUUGAAACUGGAAGACGUGAGUGUGUUUGAUGUAGGCGGAAUGCGUGGUGUAGCGGUGAAAGGCAUAGAUAUCACGCAGAACUCCGAUUGCGAAGGCAGCUUACUAAGCCAUAACUGACACUGAAGCACGAAAGCGUGGGGAUCAAACAGGAUUAGAUACCCCGGUAGUC
rnacentral:rRNA from 1 species